rnacentral:rRNA from 2 species
CGUGCCUAAUACAUGCAAGUCGAGCGGACAUUUGAGAGCUUGCUCUCAAAUGUUAGCGGCGGACGGGUGAGUAACACGUGGGUAACCUGCCUGUAAGAUUGGGAUAACUCCGGGAAACCGGAGCUAAUACCGGAUAACAUUUUGAACCGCAUGGUUCGAAAUUGAAAGAUGGCCUUUGGCUAUCACUUACAGAUGGACCCGCGGCGCAUUAGCUAGUUGGUGAGGUAAUGGCUCACCAAGGCGACGAUGCGUAGCCGACCUGAGAGGGUGAUCGGCCACACUGGGACUGAGACACGGCCCAGACUCCUACGGGAGGCAGCAGUAGGGAAUCUUCCGCAAUGGACGAAAGUCUGACGGAGCAACGCCGCGUGAACGAUGAAGGCCUUCGGGUCGUAAAGUUCUGUUGUUAGGGAAGAACAAGUACCAGAGUAACUGCUGGUACCUUGACGGUACCUAACCAGAAAGCCACGGCUAACUACGUGCCAGCAGCCGCGGUAAUACGUAGGUGGCAAGCGUUGUCCGGAAUUAUUGGGCGUAAAGCGCGCGCAGGCGGUUUUUUAAGUCUGAUGUGAAAGCCCACGGCUCAACCGUGGAGGGUCAUUGGAAACUGGAGAACUUGAGUGCAGAAGAGGAGAGCGGAAUUCCACGUG